GCCCAUGUAGCUCAGGCAGUAGAGCACAUUUUUGGUAAAAAUGAGGUCUGCAGUGCAAAUCUGCACAUGGGCU
rnacentral:tRNA from 1 species